rnacentral:hammerhead_ribozyme from 1 species
AUCCAGGUGACGGGUCCCAAAUAAGACGAAGCGCGCGUAUUGGAU